UUUUCGGAAUCUUUUGUUUAAGAGGUAAUUUGUAAAGUUAUUUUAGGAUCUUUCCCUGAAGUU
rnacentral:tRNA from 1 species